rnacentral:rRNA from 1 species
UACGAGGGGGGCAAGUGUUGUUCGGAAUCACUGGGCGUAAAGGGAGCGUAGGCGGAUGUUUAAGUUGGAUGUUUAAAACCGGGGCCUAACCUCGGAGCGGCAUCCAAGACUGGGCAUCUUGAAUAGGUCAGAGGCUGGUGGAAUUGGAGGUGUAGCGGUGGAAUGCGUAGAGAUCUCCAAGAACACCUAUUGCGAAGGCAGCCAGCUGGGACCAUAUUGACGCUGAGGCUCGAAAGCAUGGGGAGCAAACAGG